CCCUUAGAUGUUCUGGGCCGCACGCGCGCUACACUGACGAAGUCAGCGAGCAUGUCCUACGCCGACAGGUGCGGGGAAUCUUGUCAAACUUCGUCGUGAUGGGGAUUGAUUAUUGAAAUUCUUGAUCAUCAACGAGGAAUUCCUAGUAAGCGCAAGUCAGCAGCUUGCGUUGAUUACGUCCCUGCUCUUUGUACACACCGCCCGUCGCUACUACCGAUUGAAUGGUUUAGUGAGAUCUUCGGAUUGGCGCCACUGCGGCUCAGCAAUGGGCUCGGUGGAUGCCGAAAAGUUGAUCAAACUUGAUCAUUUAGAGGAAGUAAAAGUCGUAACA
rnacentral:rRNA from 1 species